rnacentral:misc_RNA from 1 species
AAAAUUAGUAUCAAUAUGGAUUUCCUUGAAUAUUCUCUUCUUUUCUUGUUGAUUUUUUGUUCUACUUAUUCUAUAUGGUUCAUCAUAUAUAGAAGGACUAAAACCUCAGCACCAACAAAUUGGCCAAUCCUUAGGGAGUUGCCUGGGGUUAUUGGGAAUCUUCAUCGCGGUCAUGCAUAUAUGACUGAAGUUCUUAUAGAAUAUGGUGGUACUUAUGACUUUAAAGGUCCUAUUUUUACAAAUGUGGACAUGUUUUUUACUUGCGAUCCUGCAAAUAUACAUUAUAUCUUUAGUAAAAAUUUCUCAAACUAUCCAAAAGGACCUGAGUUUCGUAAGAUUUUUGAUAUGUUGGGUAAUGGGAUCUUCAAUGUUGAUCAUGAGCUAUGGGAGCUACAUAGGAGGACUACCAUGUCCAUAAUGAGCCAUGCAAAGUUCCAAAUGUUGUUAGAAAAGACCAUGUGGGACAUAAUUGAGAAAGGGCUUAAACCAAUUCUUGAUGCUUUUGCAAAACAAGGCAAAACAUUGGAUUUGCAAGAUGUUUUGCAAAGAUU